CCUACGGGGCGCAGCAGUAGGGAAUCUUUCACAAUGGGCGAAAGCCUGAUGGAGCAACGCAGCGUGCAGGAUGAAGGCCUUCGGGUUGUAAAAUGCUUUUAUAAGCGGGAAAUAUGAUGGUAACUUAUGAAUAAGGAUCGGCUAACUACGUGCCAGCAGCCGCGGUAAUACGUAGGAUCAGCGCAUUAUCCGGAGUGACUGGGUGUAAAGAGUUGCGUAGGUGGCAUAAUAAGUAGCUAGUGAAAUCUGGUGGCCCAACCAUUCAGACUAUUAGCUAAACUGUUAAGCUCGAGACCGUUGGUGGCAAGUGGAAGUUCUAGUGUAGGAGUGAAAUCCAUAGAUAUUAGAAAGAACACCAAUAGCGUAGGCAGGUUACUGGGACGGGUCUGACACUGAGGCACGAAAGCGUAGGGAGCGAACGGGAUUAGAUACCCGAGUAGUC
rnacentral:rRNA from 1 species